rnacentral:lncRNA from 1 species
UUUCAUUUCCCCCCUAUAUAAACUCAUGCUUUACCACUCUUUCAUAUAACAUAUCCCAAGUUGUGGCCGUCGCACUCAUGAAGAGCGCUCAAGACAAUAACAGUGAAGAUGAAGAUGUUGGAAUCCAUUUCCAAUUCAUCAAAAUUGAAUCAAUGAGUCACCAUGUUAAAGUAUUGGAUUUAUCGUCUCGCGCUUCUUAAUUAACCAUUUCUGUUAUUUGAUACUAACAUUGUGCUCUCUUUUUGUUCUUUGAUUUCUAACCCUAGACCCCAUCGAUGUGCUUAUGUUGUGAUGCCUUGGGGCUUAAUUAACUCUUUCUUGCAAAUACCCCAUGCUUCCAAAUAUCAUUACAUGUAAAAGAAAUAUGUUUUUUUAAGGAUAAAAAGAAGAAUAAUGCUUGAAAAUAAAAUUGAUACACACUUUCCAUCCCAUUUUGCAUAAUUUUUUCGUCUCAUUUGUUGAAGUUAAUUAAAAGCAUAAAGCUAAUUCUUUUAAGUAUUCUUCUAUAUUGAUUGAAUAGUUUUUUUCCGUAAACCAUCUCUUAUUUAAACAGUAGCACAAAGAGUGUCAUGCUAUGAAUGGAAGAUUUGGCUUAUCUAUCAUCAACGGUUUUAGGUGGAUUCAGUGUUUGAGUUGUCUUUUAUUUCAAUUUAGUGUUCGCAAGCAAUUGCCAAAAUUUUGUGCGAGCAACCAACCAUAUAUGUUUGCAAUCUGAUUUCCCUUGGAAAGUGUGCAGGUAAAGCAAUUACAUUUAGAAUUUGCUUUAAUAUGGAUAAACUAAUGAUGAUAUUGAAGGUUGAAAAUUUGAUUUCUUUUAUCUUUUGCAGAGAGAUUAUGCACUUUCAGUUUGUAAAAAUUAAAGCAACCCUGUGAAUGUCCUUCACCUUUCGUGGAGGCUUCAAUUCAGAUGCUGCAGAAUUAACCACAACAACAACCGCGGCAACAGCAACAACAUCAUCAACAGCAACAUCAACAGCUGCAACAGCAACAACAACAACAGCAGCAGCAACAGUAGCAACAGCAACAGCAAAAGAGGAAAUAGCAGUAGAGUAGCAUUAGCAGUCGUAGUAUUAGUAGCAGUAGUAGUAUGACUUAUACGGAAUGUCACCAAAACCAAGCAAGAACUAUGUGUCUAAUAUCUAUAUGUUAAAGGAACAAAAAAUACGUUUGUUUAGUGUUUCAAAUUGCAUCAGUAAUCUUGUUAUAUAUACAUCUCUUUAUUUUUAUUUCCCAA